rnacentral:rRNA from 1 species
ACGGGAGGCAGCAGUGAGGAAUAUUGGUCAAUGGGCGAGAGCCUGAACCAGCCAUGUCGCGUGGAGGAAUAAGGAUCUAUGGUUCGUAAACUCCUUUUGCGGGGGGAUAAAGUGCGGGACGCGUCCCGUUUUGUAGGUACCCCGCGAAUAAGCAUCGGCUAACUCCGUGCCAGCAGCCGCGGUAAUACGGAGGAUGCGAGCGUUAUCCGGAUUUAUUGGGUUUAAAGGGUGCGUAGGCGGGAUGUUAAGUCAGCGGUGAAAGCGUGUAGCUCAACUAUACCAAGCCGUUGAAACUGGCGUUCUUGAGUGUAAACGAGGUAGGCGGAAUGUGACGUGUAGCGGUGAAAUGCUUAGAUAUGUCACAGAACCCCGAUUGCGAAGGCAGCUUACCAGCAUACAACUGACGCUGAGGCACGAAAGUGCGGGGAUCAAACAGGAUUAGAUACCCUGGUA